AACGUGGGGAGGAGCUUGCUCCACCCUGACGACGAGUGGCGAACGGGUGAGUAAUACAUCGGAACGUGUCCGCUCGUGGGGGACAACCAGCCGAAAGGUUGGCUAAUACCGCAUGAGUUCUACGGAAGAAAGAGGGGGACCCGCAAGGGCCUCUCGCGAGCGGAGCGGCCGAUGACUGAUUAGCCAGUUGGUGAGGUAACGGCUCACCAAAGCAACGAUCAGUAGCUGGUCUGAGAGGACGACCAGCCACACUGGGACUGAGACACGGCCCAGACUCCUACGGGAGGCAGCAGUGGGGAAUUUUGGACAAUGGGCGCAAGCCUGAUCCAGCUAUUCCGCGUGUGGGAUGAAGGCCCUCGGGUUGUAAACCACUUUUGUAGAGAACGAAAAGACAUCUUCGAAUAAAGGAUGUUGCUGACGGUACUCUAAGAAUAAGCACCGGCUAACUACGUGCCAGCAGCCGCGGUAAUACGUAGGGUGCGAGCGUUAAUCGGAAUUACUGGGCGUAAAGGGUGCGCAGGCGGUUGAGUAAGACAGAUGUGAAAUCCCCGAGCUUAACUCGGGAAUGGCAUAUGUGACUGCUCGACUAGAGUGUGUCAGAGGGAGGUGGAAUUCCACGUGUAGCAGUGAAAUGCGUAGAUAUGUGGAAGA
rnacentral:rRNA from 1 species